CCUACGGGAGGCAGCAGUGAGGAAUAUUGGUCAAUGGGCGGGAGCCUGAACCAGCCAAGUCGCGUGAGGGAUGACGGCCCUAUGGGUUGUAAACCUUUUUUGCCGGGGAGCAAAGUGCCGCACGUGUGCGGUUUGGAGAGUACCCGGAGAAAAAGCAUCGGCAAACUCCGUGCCAGCCGCCGCGGUAAUACGGGGGAUGCGAGCGUUAUCCGGAUUUCUUGGGUUUAAAGGGUGCGUAGGCGGACGGUUAAGUCAGCGGUAAAAGUGCGGGGCUCAACCUCGUCGAGCCGUUGAAACUGGGUGCCUGGAGUGGGCGAGAGGUACGCGGAAUGCGUGGUGUAGCGGUGAAAUGCAUAGAUAUCACGCAGAACACCGAUGGCGAAGGCAGCGUACCGGCGCCCAACUGACGCUGAGGCACGAAGGCGUGGGUAUCGAACAGGAUUAGAUACCCUAGUAGUC
rnacentral:rRNA from 1 species